GACGAACGCUGGCGGCGUGCCUAAUACAUGCAAGUAGACCUGAGUUGCGAACGGGUGAGUAACGCGUAGGAACCUGCCUCAUAGCGGGGGAUAACUAUUGGAAACGAUAGCUAAUACCGCAUACUGUGAGAUGGACCUGCGUUGUAUUAGCUAGUUGGUGGGGUAAAGGCCUACCAAGGCGACGAUCCGUAACUGGUCUGAGAGGAAGAAUAGGUACACUGGAACCUGGACACGGGCCCAGCUCCUACGGGGGGCAGGAAGGGGGAAUAUUUGACCAUGGGGCGAAGCCCGAACCAACCAUGCCCGGGGGGGGGAAGAGGGCUUCCGGUUGUAAAACACUUUAAGUUGGGAGGCGUUACCAACAGAAUAAGCACCGGCUAACUUCGUGCCAGCCGCCGCGGUAAUAC
rnacentral:rRNA from 1 species